GAAUUGAUAUAGCAGAGUAGGACUGCAAUAAAUACUUAUUGGAAGAAUAACAUUCCUGUCUGUUAUUUUUACUUUGUAGAUGGGAGGCAUGUAUGCCAUUUUGGCUUAUCUCAGCAGGUUCAAGAACGUGAACCCAGUGAUUAUGGGACUUGGAAAGUCCAGGUAACCUUUUCCACUUCUACAGAAAGCUUACUCUGCUUACUUUCCUCCUGCCUCUGCCUCUUUUGGUCACUCUUUCUCAGUCUGUUUCCUUGAACCCCUCCCCUUGCUAUUGCAUAUAUAUAUAUAGUCAGAUGUUACAAUAUUCUCUAGAGGUCUUACCUUAUGGUGUAUCAAUUGGGUCAUGCUCCUGAUGAUCAUCAGUGAUGCAAAAAAAUACAAAAGUGCCACAUAACAUAAUCAUUCUAGCAAUGGUUUUCAGAAAUGUCCUGUUCCCAUGUCACCUGGAUGUGGAAUCCAGAUGGUGGCCUGAGAAGAGGCUCUAGCCUUGGGCUCCAGGCAUAAGUCUCAGAACAUGCCAGAAUAGGGAUUUACUUUUGAAUCAUAAUUAUACUGCAAAAUAAGGAAGAGGAACCUUAGACCUGAGAAGUUAUGGGCAAUUCCUGAAUCAGAUUGACUGAGAAAACCCCAAGCAAACACUAAAGAGGCAUAAGAAAAGAGAGCUGUAAAAGUACACAGUAACUCAAGUGGGAAUUCCAAAUGUGAACUCAGUUCACAGGUCAGAAGUUGGGAUACUGAAGAAGGAACAGUAUUGGAGGCAGGCAGUGGGGCCCCACUCCCCACUAUGGAAAGCAGUUGGAAGCAUAGGCUCCUGCCUGCAAGUGUGAGUACCUUCCACCUUCACAUUAGUGCUGAUGUCCUUUGCUUAGAUGUUCCAUGUUUCUUUCUUUCUUCUCCAGUGCCUACUGUGGGAUGACUAUGAACAACAAUGUAAUGACUUUAGUAUGGAGCCCAGAGCACCACUACACCAUUUCAAAAUGAGGAUGGAAGAAGAUCAGCAGUGGUAAAGUUCAAGGUUACCUCUGGCGGAAA
rnacentral:lncRNA from 1 species